rnacentral:rRNA from 1 species
UGACCGCUGGCGGCGUGCCUACUACAUGCAAGUCGAGCGAACAGACGAGGAGCUUGCUCCUCUGACGUUAGCGGCGGACGGGUGAGUAACACGUGGAUAACCUACCUAUAAGACUGGGAUAACUUCGGGAAACCGGAGCUAAUACCGGAUAAUAUAUUGAACCGCAUGGUUCAAUAGUGAAAGACGGUUUUGCUGUCACUUAUAGAUGGAUCCGCGCCGCAUUAGCUAGUUGGUAAGGUAACGGCUUACCAAGGCGACGAUGCGUAGCCGACCUGAGAGGGUGAUCGGCCACACUGGAACUGAGACACGGUCCAGACUCCUACGGGAGGCAGCAGUAGGGAAUCUUCCGCAAUGGGCGAAAGCCUGACGGAGCAACGCCGCGUGAGUGAUGAAGGUCUUCGGAUCGUAAAACUCUGUUAUUAGGGAAGAACAAAUGUGUAAGUAACUAUGCACGUCUUGACGGUACCUAAUCAGAAAGCCACGGCUAACUACGUG